AACUUUUAGCAAUGGAUCUCUUGGCUCUCGCAUCGAUGAAGAACGCAGCGAAAUGCGAUACGUAAUGUGAAUUUCAGAAUUCAGUGAAUCAUCGAAUCUUUGAACGCACCUUGCGCCCCUUGGAAUUCCGGAGGGCACACCCGUUUGAGUGUCGUGAAUAUCCUUCAACCGUUCUUGGUUUCUUAACCGGGGAAGGCUUGGACUUUGGGGGUCUUUCAUUGCUGGCCUCUUUGAAGCCAGCUCCUCCUAAAUGGAUUAGUGUGGUCUGCUUUGCCGAUCCUUGACGUGAUAAGAUGUUUCUACGUCUUGGGUUUCGCACUGUCGCUUUAGACCCCGCUUCUAACCGUCUUGCAUUCAAGACAGAGUUUUAAACCUUGACCUCAAAUCGGGUGAGACUACCCGCUGAACUUAAGCAUAUCAAUAAGCGGAGGCU
rnacentral:misc_RNA from 1 species